rnacentral:rRNA from 1 species
UACGUAGGGGCCUAGCGUUGUCCGGAUUUAUUGGGCGUAAAGAGCUCGUAGGCGGUUCGGCAAGUCAGCUGUGAAAUCUCCACGCUUAACGUGGAGGGGUCAGCUGAUACUGCCGUGACUCGAGUCCGGUAGGGGAGUGUGGAAUUCCCGGUGUAGCGGUGAAAUGCGCAGAUAUCAGGAGGAACACCAAUUGCGAAGGCAGCUCGCUGGGACGUUACUGACGCUGAGACGCGAAAGCGUGGGGAGCAAACAGG